AACGAACGCUGGCGGCAUGCCUAACACAUGCAAGUCGAACGAGACCUUCGGGUCUAGUGGCGCACGGGUGCGUAACGCGUGGGAACCUGCCCUUAGGUUCGGAAUAACUCCCCGAAAGGGGUGCUAAUACCGGAUAAUGUCUUCGGACCAAAGAUUUAUCGCCUUUGGAUGGGCCCGCGUUGGAUUAGCUAGUUGGUAGGGUAAACGCCUACCAAGGCGACGAUCCAUAGCUGGUCUGAGAGGAUGAUCAGCCACACUGGGACUGAGACACGGCCCAGACUCCUACGGGAGGCGGCAGUGGGGAAUAUUGGACAAUGGGCGAAAGCCUGAUCCAGCAAUGCCGCGUGAGUGAUGAAGGCCUUAGGGUUGUAAAGCUCUUUUACCCGGGAUGAUAAUGACAGUACCGGGAGAAUAAGCUCCGGCUAACUCCGUG
rnacentral:rRNA from 1 species